rnacentral:misc_RNA from 1 species
CAGCACAAAGGGGACCCUAGGGUCCCCUUUAAUUUGUCGUUGCCUGCUCUUUUUUUAUUAUUGAGGGGCGGUCUGUUGUUGUUUUUGGUAACCGUGACCCUUUACCGCUGUUUUUGGCGACCCCCAUCCGGGGUCAAGAGCAAACGUAUUUUUUUGAGCGCUGAUCUGCUUCUUCGCAAGCGAUCCAACCAGUGGCAGCUACCUGAGGUAGUU